UGUCUACGAUUGGCAGGACGCCGGGGGAAGAGGGGCUGGAGUCUGGCUUGAAAAAGGGGGGCAGUGAUUUGUGGGGAACUGGGCCAGUCGGGAGGCAAGCGUCGGAGGCAGGGAUGCUUCAGAGCUGGAGGAAGAGGAGGAUGAGGCAGGCCAGGAAAGGGCCAGGGGCUUCCCCACCUUCUCCUGAACCUCCGUCUCCCAGAACCAGGAGGGGACUGAAGAGGGAAGGGCAGAGGGAGCUUCUGUGCAGGCGCAGUCUCUGGCUGUGAGGAGCAUAAACAGAGGGAGGGAGAGUCACCCCUGUUGUUGCAGCUGCUCAUAGAAUGCAGACCUGGGAAGAGCUGCAUCCUAGCGAGUCUUAUAUUGGGCAAGAAAGAGCUAGCUCUCUGCCAUGUGCCUUCC